ACCAUCGACUUUACCUUGCCCCUCUUUCUCUCUUUUGUGGUUCAUCGCACCAUCAUUUCAAAACCUAAAGAAUCGUUGUAGCUUUUGCAAAACCUCUCAAUAUUGCCCUCAUUCCAUGACCACCACCACCUCUCACUCUUCUCAUAAUCGCUUAAACCCACUCGAUCUCGUUCUCAGAUUUAGGGUUCCUGUUUCGAGAGACAAUCUCCAUGAUAACAAAUGAGGCAUUAUCGUCGAUGAAGGAGAAGGUGUAAAAUCUCCAAUUUAUAUAUAUCUCAGUCUAUUUUCAUUUGUUAUAUUGAUUGGAUUGAUUUAUGUUCAAUCUGUUUAGUUUAUCAUUUUGUGUGAAAUCUCCAAUUGAUGUUUAGUUUAUCGAUUAUGUGUUUGAUGAUUUGUGAAUGUGUUAUGCUUUGCUUAGAUCAUUCAACGAAUUAUGAUAAAUGAUGAUUCUUUUGUUGUUUGAAACGGAAACUUCACAUCCGAACUUUAGAAGUAUUUAAUAUUUUUGAAGGAAUAGCAAAAUGUAAAUUUCGAGGAAGAUUAUAAGUAGGAUUUAUUUAUAUAGAAUUGUUCUAUAAAAUUGUGUUUGGAUAGAAUCCGUUAUUACCAUUUUAUGGUUUAUACAGUAUCUGUGAGCGAUAUUUAGUCAUCUUAAAUGCCUUGUGUACAAUUUGAAUGGAAAAGGGAAAAUGAAGCUUAAGAUUUUUACUAUUCUGAAGCGUGCAAUGCUAACUCCGGUGAGUUCUUGACCUCUUUUCUACCUACUCCUAUUUUAUCUUCUUGUUUCUGAUCUGCUGCAACUAUGUGAUUUGUUAUGAAUUUUUGCCUUACGAUUCGUACGCGUAUGCUUGGUUGAGUUGUGUGUGAGCGUCGAUUAUGAGGGUGAUGUUUUGUUAUUUGGUGUGUUAUGAGCGGAGGGAGUGGUUUGAAGGUUGAACAGAGAUGAAUUGUGAAUGUAUGUUGGGUUGAAGAGUUGCAGUGAAGUUAUGGUUAAAGUUGAGGUACUGAGGAGAGUGUAUGUUAGAGGUGGUGACGAUUUUAUGAGGAUGAGGGAGUUACGGGUUUGAGGGUAAAGUUUAAGAGAGUGGAGGUUUUUGAUAGUAAUUUUCUGAGCUUGUGGUUGAAGGGAGAUUUAGAAGGGAAGGAUUUUGAUGAAGAAGGAUUUGAGCUAUGAGGUUGUUGUUUAUCUUUAGCAGAGGUUAAUGAAUAGUUUGGAGAGGAAUUGUUUUGUGCCUCAAAUUUAGAGUGUAAGAGUGGGUUUAUAUAGGAUAGAAAUUAGGGUUGUGAGAGUGGUUUGGAAUUCUGAUUUUUAAGAGUGAGGUUUUGAAAUGUGCAGGGUGAGGAUUGUUUUGUUUGUUGCUGCAGAGUAGAGUAGUGGAAGAAGGGUGACGUUUGUUGCCUCUGUACUAUUGUACCUUUGUUUUUUCAGGUUUUUCCACUCUUUUGUCCUUUGUCCUCUCGUGAAAUUGCUGAUUUGUUCACUUUAUUACUGCUACUGGUUUUAUCAUUCAAAACAAAAUGUUGCAAGUUUCAUUUAUAUUCCUCUUAACAUGAACUGAUGAUGGUCUAAUGUUGUUUGCAAGUUGAGCUUGGUGUUUAGUCUAAUAAGAGGCCUGAUUGAACUUGGCAUGUAUGGUGCAACAUGGAACUUGGAAAUGGAGUUCUUGGAAUGGUGCAUCUUUAGCAGCUUGAGAUGAAUCAAACAGAUAGAAGCUAUGAAAUAGCCACUGAACUUGUUCCUCUGAGCUUAAUCGUCCAUGUCAUUUUGUUCACCUUUUACCCUUUCAAUAUCGUAUACCGCCCAAGCCGUUCCAUCUUUAUCCGAUGUUUAUUCCGCUGCAUAUGCGCUCCUUUUUUUUCCAAUAACAUAAAUAUGAAAUUAAAAUUUGACUUUUUCCAACAACAUUAAAGAAUGACAUAUCUGUGCAGGUUUCAUUUUCAGACUUUUUCUUGGCCGAUCAACUUACCAGUCGGGUCUUUUUGUGCUCCUAUGGAUUCUAUAUGAUCAGUGUAUGCAACAAUUAUACGAUGAGAGAGAGAGAGACCAUGCGAUCAAUGGUUCAAAGUAUCUAUUGACAAUUUUUUCGAUGGUGAUUAGGACUACGUUUGAUACAAAAAAUGGAAUAAGAUGGAAAGUGUUGCCACUUCUAAGUUCGGGUGUAGCGAUACUAAUGAAUUCAUAUUGAGACAUAGUGAAGGAUUGGAGUCUCUUGCAAAGACAUUUGAAGAAUUGUUAUUCUAGAGAUAAACUCAUAGUAUCUCACAAAAGUGUCUACUACAUAGCCAUGGUUGUGAAUGUUCUAAGACUUUCAUUGAUGCUGGUGCUUGAAUUGGAUUGGUGUCUCAUUCAUAAAGUGGCGAUUAUUACGUUUAUUUCGUGUCUUGAAAUUGAUCGACAUGGCAUAUGGAACUUCUUUAGAGUGUUAUUAAAUGAGCUCCUACAACAUCCAAAAUGGAGAACAUAAAUGCUCAUGAAAAUGUGAGCCUUGUGCAAUGAUAAAUGCUCAAUCUGGUUGUAUGUGACUUGUAACUUUACUGAUAGACCAUAUGAACUUUUAUGGCACUAGAUGACAAUUUUAGUUAGUUUUUCACUCAUGUUUCUUUGCCCUCUAUAAUUGAUUGAUCUAAUCAGUGAUGAAAUUUUGUAACCUUGUUGAUCCAUUUCACCACUGAUUUUUAUUUGGCUUACUGAUGCUGAUAAUUCUCAUGCUACUUUCUAUUAUAGGAUUGAUGCUUCUUGUACAACGGGUUAUGUGCUGAUUUGGACAAAUGGCUGUCCAAGAACUUAUGAUGUGUUUUUCAGUUGCAAGUGUUCAUAGUUACUUUACAUUGUGAUAUAAGCUUUAAUGUUAAAGGGCAUGGUGGUCUGAAUAUAACUCUAAUUAGGCUACUUUUGAAGAAUCAGAAUGGUGAACUUCAUAUCUUAUAAUUGACUAAUAUGAUUUAGGCCUUACAUUGAUUAAUGUUAUUAUAAAAUUGUUUUAUGUUAUCUUAAUGAGUAAUGGAUUCUUCAAUGAAAAUAUAUAAAUAUGAAAUUGUUUUUAA